ACAACGGGGGUGCGAGGGCUGUCGCUGACCUUUCAAAAGGUCGUGCACGCCCGAGCGCUCUCACACAUCCAUCUCACCCCUUUGUGCAUCACCGCGUGGGUCCCCCUUUGCAGGAGGGCUCACGUUUUCACACAAAACUUGAUACAGUGUAGAAUGUUAUUUUUGCGGUCACACGCAAUCAAUACAACUUUCAACAACGGAUCUCUUGGCUCUCGCAUCGAUGAAGAACGCAGCGAAAUGCGAUACGUAAUGUGAAUUGCAGAAUUCAGUGAAUCAUCGAAUCUUUGAACGCACCUUGCGCCCCUUGGCAUUCCGAGGGGCACACCCGUUUGAGUGUCGUGAAAUCAUCAAAAACCCUUUUCUGUUUACCGAAAAGGAUUUUUGGACUUGGAGGUUUAAUGCUUGCCUUUCACUUUUGAAAGCGAGCUCCUCUCAAAUGAAUUAGUGGGGUCCGCUUUGCUGGUCCUUGACGUGAUAAGAUGUUUCUACGUUUUGGAUUUAGCACUGUCCCUUUGGAUUCCUGCUCCUAACUGUCCAACGGACAAACGAUGGUGCUCCGGUCGCCGCCGUCUACAUUGGNGGGGGAGGGCUGGANCCACGAAAGAAACCUUGA
rnacentral:rRNA from 1 species